rnacentral:rRNA from 1 species
UCAGGAUGAACGCUGGCGGCGUGCUUAACACAUGCAAGUCGAACGAUGAAACCCACUUGUGGGUGGAUUAGUGGCGAACGGGUGAGUAACACGUGAGUAACCUGCCCUUGACUCUGGGAUAAGCCUGGGAAACUGGGUCUAAUACCGGAUAUGACUGAUCAUCGCAUGGUGGUUGGUGGAAAGCUUUUGCGGUUUUGGAUGGACUCGCGGCCUAUCAGCUUGUUGGUGGGGUAAUGGCCUACCAAGGCGACGACGGGUAGCCGGCCUGAGAGGGUGACCGGCCACACUGGGACUGAGACACGGCCCAGACUCCUACGGGAGGCAGCAGUGGGGAAUAUUGCACAAUGGGCGAAAGCCUGAUGCAGCGACGCCGCGUGAGGGAUGACGGCCUUCGGGUUGUAAACCUCUUUCAGUAGGGAAGAAGCCGUAAGGUGACGGUACCUGCAGAAGAAGCGCCGGCUAACUACGUGCCAGCAGCCGCGGUAAUACGUAGGGCGCAAGCGUUAUCCGGAAUUAUUGGGCGUAAAGAGCUCGUAGGCGGUUUGUCGCGUCUGCCGUGAAAGUCCGGGGCUCAACUCCGGAUCUGCGGUGGGUACGGGCAGACUAGAGUGAUGUAGGGGAGACUGGAAUUCCUGGUGUAGCGGUGAAAUGCGCAGAUAUCAGGAGGAACACCGAUGGCGAAGGCAGGUCUCUGGGCAUUAACUGACGCUGAGGAGCGAAAGCAUGGGGAGCGAACAGGAUUAGAUACCCUGGUAGUCCAUGCCGUAAACGUUGGGCACUAGGUGUGGGGGACAUUCCACGUUUUCCGCGCCGUAGCUAACG